GCGUGUUUGCCACCGCUGUGCUGCUCUCGCCUUACAAGCGAGCGGUCGCCGGUUCGAUCCCGGCCGCGCCCACCC
rnacentral:tRNA from 1 species